CCUACGGGGGACAGCAGUGAGGAAUAUUGGUCAAUGGACGGAAGCCUGAACCAGCCAUGCCGCGUGCAGGAAGACGGCUCUAUGAGUUGUAAACUGCUUUUGUACAAGGGUAAACCUGAAUACGUGUAUUCAGCUGACAGUACUGUACGAAUAAGGAUCGGCUAACUCCGUGCCAGCAGCCGCGGUAAUACGGAGGAUCCAAGCGUUAUCCGGAUUUAUUGGGUUUAAAGGGUGCGUAGGCGGAUUGAUAAGUUAGAGGUGAAAUGUCCGAGCUUAACUCGGGAACUGCCUCUAAUACUGUUGAUCUAGAGAGUAGGUGCGGUAGGCGGAAUGUAUGGUGUAGCGGUGAAAUGCUUAGAGAUCAUACAGAACACCGAUUGCGAAGGCAGCUUACCAAUCUAUAUCUGACGUUGAGGCACGAAAGCGUGGGGAGCAAACAGGAUUAGAUACCCUAGUAGUC
rnacentral:rRNA from 1 species